CUGAAAGUUGCAUGCCUAUUAGAAACUGGUGAAGAAAAAACCCAAGUAAAGAUGCAUGAUGUUAUCAGAAGUUUUGCUUUGUGGAUAGCAACUGAGUGUGGAUUCAACAAGGGUUUAUUUCUAGUUGAGGCCAGUAUGGGGCUCACUGCAGCACCCAUAGCUGAAAGGUGGAAGGAAGCUCAGAGAAUUUCGUUGAUGGACAAUGGAAUCACUACUCUAACAGAGUUAUCUGAGUGCCCCAAUUUAUUAACCUUACUUCUUCAAUUUAACAGUGGC
rnacentral:misc_RNA from 1 species